UACGUAGGGGGCUAGCGUUGUCCGGAAUCAUUGGGCGUAAAGCGCGUGUAGGCGGUCCGGUAAGUCCGCUGUGAAAGUCGAGGGCUCAACCCUCGAAAGCCGGUGGAUACUGUCGGGCUUGAGUACGGGAGAGGCGAGUGGAAUUCCUGGUGUAGCGGUGAAAUGCGCAGAUAUCAGGAGGAACACCAAUGGCGAAGGCAGCUCGUUGGGACGUUACUGACGCUGAGACGCGAAAGCGUGGGUAGCAAACAGG
rnacentral:rRNA from 1 species